GACGAACGCUGGCGGCGUGCUUAACACAUGCAAGUCGAACGGAAAGGCCCUGCUUUUGUGGGGUGCUCGAGUGGCGAACGUGUGAGUAACCCGUGAGUAACCUGCCCUUGACUUUGGGAUAACUUCAGGAAACUGGGGCUAAUACCGGAUAGGAGCUCCUGCUGCAUGGUGGGGGUUGGAAAGUUUCGGCGGUUGGGGAUGGACUCGCGGCUUAUCAACUUGUUGGUGGGGUAGUGGCUUACCAAGGCUUUGACGGGUAGCCGGCCUGAGAGGGUGACCGGCCACAUUGGGACUGAGAUACGGCCCAGACUCCUACGGGAGGCAGCAGUGGGGAAUAUUGCACAAUGGGCGGAAGCCUGAUGCAGCAACGCCGCGUGCGGGAUGACGGCCUUCGGGUUGUAAACCGCUUUCGCCUGUGACGAAGCGUGAGUGACGGUAAUGGGUAAAGAAGCACCGGCUAACUACGUG
rnacentral:rRNA from 1 species